GCCAGCAGCCAUAUCAUCCUGCAACUCACAACUGGCAACCCACUGAAGCUAAGCAGGUGUGAGCCUGGUCAAUACCUGGAUGGGAGACCUGGGAAAAACUAAGGUUGCUGCUGGAA
rnacentral:rRNA from 1 species